CUUCCUUCCCCCUGCCAAGCGGUCUUCAACGUCCUCUCCCGCGUCUGGCUUUUCUUCGCCUGUACUCGCUCCCCAGGACCACUGGGACUCCGGCGGCAGGCGAUGUCUACAGGAAAUGGUGCUUGAAUACUGCUGAAGUGAGAGAACAAGAAUUCCUCCUCCAACAGAACAUGCUUUGUUUAGCUCCUCACCACAGUCUCAAAAGGAGAAUGACCUGUGAAAUUUGAACCUCCUUGGAUCUGUUUCUUCCAGCAAGACAAUACAAAGGGGAUGUACUGUGCUGGAGGUUCUGACAAUGUGAGUACAGCAGCUCAUUGUCAGACCUUUAUAAUUAGAAUAUUUAUUUCACAUUUGGAUGUGGAUGUGAGCUAUUCAGGGAGAGGAACAAAGGGGAUAAAAGGCUGGAUAACAUACACACACAUGUAAGAUAUAUUUUUGCAGUCCCAGAACUAACAAAUAAUAAAACCAAUUCUGUUUAACCUCGUAAAUAUCUUCACCUGACAUCUACAGGCAAAAUUCCACAUAUCUAAAAAGCAAAUUUUUCAAGGUUUUGCUCUUACUAUAUUGAAAUGUUAUCUAAAAUGUUUUGCAAACUUAUGUCUACCAUUUGCUGCUAAUUGAGUUCUCACAUGCAGCCAAGUGGUUCACAUGGAAGAUACAAUAUCUGUGCCAUCAGGUUUCCUCUAAGAAUAUGUUCAGAUAUUUUUAAAAUUUUGGAUACAAGUAUAAAAUGCAACUGAUAUGCCAACAGUUCAUUAUCUUCUUACUGCAUGAUCUAUUUUAGGGGCAGUCAAUUGCCUGGCUCCAUUUUAUUUGUAAGGUUAAAAGAUGUCUCAGAGUAACUUACUUAGGAGAUGUCUGAGACUAACUUACCUGUUUGUAAAGUAUGUGUAUGAUUUUGAAGCCCGGACAUGAUACUUUUGUUUGCCUCACAGGUAAUUAGAUGUAUUUUCUUAAUAGCUAUUUUGAAAAAACAGGACUAGAAGACAUUGUUGACAAGCCAAUAAAUAAUCAUGUUACAGAUGACAUUCAGUCUCCUAAUUUUCCUUUUAGUUAAGUAUUUGAGGACAAUACUCAUGCUUUUAAAUUGUUUUUGUGGUUUGGUU